rnacentral:rRNA from 1 species
UACGGAGGGUGCAAGCGUUAUCCGGAUUCACUGGGUUUAAAGGGUGCGUAGGCGGAUAGGUAAGUCCGUGGUGAAAUCCUGCAGCUUAACUGCAGAACUGCCAUGGAUACUAUCUAUCUUGAAUGUCGUGGAGGUUAGCGGAAUAUGUCAUGUAGCGGUGAAAUGCUUAGAGAUGACAUAGAACACCCAUUGCGAAGGCAGCUAACUACGCGAUAAUUGACGCUGAUGCACGAAAGCGUGGGGAGCGAACAGG